ACAGGGGAUUGCCUUUAGUAACGGGCGAGUGAAGCGGCAACAGCUCAAAUUUGAAAUCUGGCCCUUGGGUCCGAAUUGUAAUUUGUAGAGGAUGAUUUUGGUGCGGUAUCUUCCGAGUUCCUUGGAACAGGACGCCUUAGAGGGUGAGAGCCCCGUACGGUUGAAUGCCUAGCCUCUGUAAAUCUCCUUCGACGAGUCGAGUAGUUUGGGAAUGCUGCUCUAAAUGGGAGGUAAAUUUCUUCUAAAGCUAAAUAUUGGCCAGAGACCGAUAGCGCACAAGUAGAGUGAUCGAAAGAUGAAAAGCACUUUGAAAAGAGGGUUAAAUAGCACGUGAAAUUGUUGAAAGGGAAGGAUUUGUGACCAGACUUUUUCUGGGCGGAUCAUCCGGGGUUCUCUCCGGUGCACUUCGCCCAGUAAAGGCCAGCAUCGGUUUUCGGCGUGGGAUAAAAGCAGUAGGAAUGUGGCUCUCUACGGGGAGUGUUAUAGCCUAUUGUAUAAUACCGCGCUGGGGACCGAGGUUCGCGCUUCUGCAAGGAUGCUGGCGUAAUGGUUAUCAAUCACCCGUCUUGAAACACGGACCAAGGAGUCGAACAUUUGUGCGAGUGUUUGGGUGUUAAACCCUCACGCGUAAUGAAAGUGAACGGAGGUGAGAGCCCUUACGGGUGCAUCAUCGACCGAUCCUGAAGUUUUCGGAUGGAUUUGAGUAAGAGCAUAACUGUUCGGACCCGAAAGAUGGUGAACUAUGCGUGGAUAGGGUGAAGCCAGAGGAAACUCUGGUGGAGGCUCGCAGCGGUUCUGACGUGCAAAUCGAUCGUCAAAUCUGCGCAUGGGGGCGAAAGACUAAUCGAACCAUCUAGUAGCUGGUUACCGCCGAAGUUUCCCUCAGGAUAGCAGUGUUGUCUUCAGUUUAUGAGGUAAAGCGAAUGAUUAGGGACUCGGGGGCGCUUUUUAGCCUUCAUCCAUUCUCAAA
rnacentral:rRNA from 1 species